CAAGACAUUGAACAUAAGGAAAUGGAAAGUGAUCCCAGAGAGACAGAGAAAAAAUGAGAAUCUUUGGACUUUGAGCCUUGGCAGAGUUGGACUGCUGCAGAAACCACCACAGUCUGGCAUGAAUUAAGUCCCACUGCAGAGGUGAACUGGAGCCAAGAUUUCAAUCUCCAAAUGAUUACUACUGGGGGAAAAAGGCUCUGGGCCAUGCUGACAAUGAAUAUCAGCUGCUUUGGGUAACUGGGACUGUUUGCACUCCUCUCCCCGCAGCCGAAAAAACCAAAUUGUGGUUCUUAUAGUACUGACUGGAUUAUUUGUGCUACAUUGCUUCCCCACUGUCUUCACAUCAUAGAACAUGUCGAAAAAAAUUAUUGCAUUUGUAGGGCACCCGCAGUAAACCCAGGAGGCAACUUAUAGGCAGAAUUCACCAUCCUGGAAGCUCUAGUUGAAUCGUG
rnacentral:lncRNA from 10 species